rnacentral:tRNA from 1 species
CACUAGAUGGCUGAAAGUAAGCAAUGAUCUCUUAAAUCAUUACAUAGUAAAUAACACCUACUUCUAGUGA